rnacentral:misc_RNA from 1 species
UCUCCGUUGGUGAACCAGCGAAGGGAUCAUUACCGAGUGCAAACUCAUAACCCUUUGUGAACCUAUAUCUGUUGCUUCGGCGGCUCGCUCUCGGGCGAGCCCGCCGGUAAUAUCAGUAUCUCUGUUUGAACCCGACGAUACUUCUGAGUGUUCUUAGCGAACAGUUAAAACUUUUAACAACGGAUCUCUUGGCUCUA